rnacentral:rRNA from 1 species
GGGUUGUGAGGUUAAGCGACUAAGCGUACACGGUGGAUGCCCUGGCAGUCAGAGGCGAUGAAGGGCGUGCUAAUCUGCGAUAAGCGCCGGUAAGGUGAUAUGAACCGUUAUAACCGGCGAUACCCGAAUGGGGAAACCCAGUGUGAUUCGUCACACUAUCAUUAACUGAAUCCAUAGGUUAAUGAGGCGAACCGGGGGAACUGAAACAUCUAAGUACCCCGAGGAAAAGAAAUCAACCGAGAUUCCCCCAGUAGCGGCGAGCGAACGGGGAGGAGCCCAGAGCCUGAAUCAGCAUGUGUGUUAGUGGAAGCGUCUGGAAAGGCGCGCGAUACAGGGUGACAGCCCCGUACACAAAAGCGCAUGUGCUGUGAGCUCGAUGAGUAGGGCGGGACACGUGGUAUCCUGUCUGAAUAUGGGGGGACCAUCCUCCAAGGCUAAAUACUCCUGACUGACCGAUAGUGAACCAGUACCGUGAGGGAAAGGCGAAAAGAACCCCGGCGAGGGGAGUGAAAAAGAACCUGAAACCGUGUACGUACAAGCAGUGGGAGCCCCACCACUAAGCCAGUGGUGAACUCCACAUACGCAUCCUUUGCUGAGGAUACGGUUAACGGAGCGAAAGCGACGUUCAACCGAAAAAGAAGCAGAGGGGGCUUAGUGGUGGGGUGACUGCGUACCUUUUGUAUAAUGGGUCAGCGACUUAUAUUCUGUAGCAAGGUUAACCGUAUAGGGGAGCCGUAGGGAAACCGAGUCUUAAC